rnacentral:lncRNA from 12 species
CGGCCCUGUGCGGCGGGGGGUCACCUGGGCCUGCAGUGCCUUUCAGAUCAUGUUUUAAAACCUUCCACGCCUGGCGUUGGGAACGCAGCCGCGGCUUGGUGGUGGAUAGCAAGAGGCAAAGGCAUAGCUCUGUACGCCUGGUAGAGAGCGCAGAGGAUGAGCCCGGAAAGAUGCAGCUCAGAGGAUGAGCCCGGAAAGAUGCGUUCGAUUGUAGGUAGGAGUGGUUACACUCAGCAAGGGGGGUGAUGGGGGAUGGUGCUUUGAAUUUGAGGCUUCCUCCUGCAGUUUCUGGCCUU